GACGAACGCUGGCGGCGUGCCUAAUACAUGCAAGUAGGACGCAGUUGCGAACGUUUGAUUAACGCGUCGGUAACUGCCUAUUAGAGGGGGAUAACUACUGGAAACGCUAGCUAAUACCGCAUACUAGUAGCUGGACCUGCGUUGUAUUAGCUAGUAGGUAGGGUAAUGGCCUAACUAGGCGACGAGACAUAGCCGACGUGAGAGGGGGAGCGGGCACACUGGGACUGGGGAACGGGCCAGACUCCUACGGGAGGCAGGAGUAGGGGAGUUUCGGAAAAUGGGGGAACCCUGAACGAGGAACGCCGGGGGAGGGAAGAAGGGUUUCGGGACGUAAAGGUCUGUUGUGAAGGAAGCGGUACUUAACCAGAAAGGGACGGCUAACUACGUGCCAGCAGCCGCGGUAAUAC
rnacentral:rRNA from 1 species